CCUACGGGUGGCAGCAGUGAGGAAUAUUGGUCAAUGGGCGCGAGCCUGAACCAGCCAAGUCGCGUGAGGGAAGACGGUCCUAUGGAUUGUAAACCUCUUUUGUCGGGGAGCAAAAGACGCCACGUGUGGCGUUCCGAGAGUACCCGAAGAAAAAGCAUCGGCUAACUCCGUGCCCGCAGCCGCGGUAAUACGGAGGAUGCGCGCGUUAUCGGGAUUUAUUGGGUUUAAAGGGUGCGCAGGCGGAAGAUGAAGUCAGCGGUAAAAUAGAGGGGCUCAACCUCUUCGAGCCGUUGAAACUGGUGGGCUUGAGUGAGCGAGGAGUAUGCGGAAUGCGUGGUGUAGCGGUGAAAUGCAUAGAUAUCACGCAGAACUCCGAUUGCGAAGGCAGCAUACCGGCGCUCAACUGACGCUGAGGCACGAAAGUGUGGGUAUCGAACAGGAUUAGAUACCCGAGUAGUC
rnacentral:rRNA from 1 species